AGUGAACGCUGGCGGUAGGCCUAACACAUGCAAGUCGAACGGCAGCACAGUAAGAGCUUGCUCUUACGGGUGGCGAGUGGCGGACGGGUGAGGAAUACAUCGGAAUCUACUUUUUCGUGGGGGAUAACGUAGGGAAACUUACGCUAAUACCGCAUACGACCUACGGGUGAAAGCAGGGGAUCUUCGGACCUUGCGCGAUUGAAUGAGCCGAUGUCGGAUUAGCUAGUUGGCGGGGUAAAGGCCCACCAAGGCGACGAUCCGUAGCUGGUCUGAGAGGAUGAUCAGCCACACUGGAACUGAGACACGGUCCAGACUCCAACGGGAGGCAGCAGUGGGGAAUAUUGGACAAUGGGCGCAAGCCUGAUCCAGCCAUACCGCGUGGGUGAAGAAGGCCUUCGGGUUUUAAAGCCCUUUUGUUGGGAAAGAAAAGCAGCAGGCUAAUACCCCGCUGUUCUGACGGUACCCAAAGAAUAAGCACCGGCUAACUUCGUG
rnacentral:rRNA from 1 species